UGGGACAGCUCAGCUGGUAAAGCACAAAAUUCUUAAUCGCUGGGUUGUGGGUUCGAGUCCCACAUUGGGCAAAA